UAUUGAAAUUAAGAUUAUUAUCAAGUGCUUAUGUCUGGACUGGAGUAAGCCUUUGGCUCAGUGAUUUAAAUUCGCAAUUAUUGUAAUUCACGUUCAUCAUUUUGGUCAUUGUCCUUUACAGAUGACAAUUCGCGAUUGCAUACCAAUUUAAACUUUAAAGGACUAAUUAUUAAUCAAAAUUGAACAUUUUAUUAUUUUUUGGGCUUGCGUUCCGACCCAACAACGUCCUAAGUUGUCCCCUCCAGGUCGACUCAGCCGCUGCUUCCCCACUCUGCUCAACCGUUUGCAUCAUAAAGAAACGAAGUAGAAUGAUGGUUGCUCAACAAAUAAGUAUAAACAUCUAUUCUUCUUUUGUCUCUGAAAAUUUUGAAAGGCAGACUAUCGAUGCAACAGCAAAUUUUUGAACCCUCCACUAAAAUAAAACAAAAGUGUUGAUUAAGCAGAGAAAAAGCACAUAUACACAUGAGAACUUUUGUACCAAAUGUGGCUUCGUUUGAAUCUGAUCGUUAAAUUCACAGGUGGUUUAUGCCUGUAAACAUCGGCCUCACCUUUCUGGUUGGAAUAAUUCUUGGGUGGAUCGUGGUUAAGAUACUGAAACCAAAACCCUAUCUGGAGGGUCUUAUCAUUGCUACAUGUUCAUCUGGGAACUUUUGAAAUCUUCUCCUGCAAUCUGUAAUGGGGAUGGAAGCUCGUUUGGGGAUAGUAAUGUUUGCAGCACAGUUGCAUCUUUUUCAAUGGCGGUAAUGUGAUAUCAUAUUUCAAGCUUUUUUUUUUAUGUACAGUAAGCGUUGGGUUGCAGGAAUUAGUUGUUUACUCAUUACAAAGUAAUAAAAUGUUUAAUUUUGGUUAUAUUUUAGUACUUUAAAGUUUAAAGUGGUAAGCAACGGUAAAUUGUGUCAUGUGGUAUCUACAUAUAAAAAAAAUCAUUUCAUAUUUUUAUUAGAAUUUUUAAUGGAAAUGAUCAAAA